AGCUUUCUGUAUCCGUGCUGAGAUCUCGUCGGACACCAACCCAUUAGGGCUGACCAGACUUCCAAGAUAAGUGAAGUU
rfam:Schistosoma rodhaini strain Burundi genome assembly, scaffold: SROB_scaffold0012763